rnacentral:rRNA from 1 species
UGGGGAAUAUUGCACAAUGGGCGCAAGCCUGAUGCAGCCAUGCCGCGUGUAUGAAGAAGGCCUUCGGGUUGUAAAGUACUUUCAGCGAGGAGGAAGGCAUUGUGGUUAAUAACCACAGUGAUUGACGUUACUCGCAGAAGAAGCACCGGCUAACUCCGUGCCAGCAGCCGCGGUAAUACGGAGGGUGCAAGCGUUAAUCGGAAUUACUGGGCGUAAAGCGCACGCAGGCGGUCUGUCAAGUCGGAUGUGAAAUCCCCGGGCUCAACCUGGGAACUGCAUUCGAAACUGGCAGGCUAGAGUCUUGUAGAGGGGGGUAGAAUUCCAGGUGUAGCGGUGAAAUGCGUAGAGAUCUGGAGGAAUACCGGUGGCGAAGGCGGCCCCCUGGACAAAGACUGACGCUCAGGUGCGAAAGCGUGGGGAGCAAACA